GAGGGUAUAGUUCAGUGGUAGAGUGUGUGCUUAGCAUGCACAAGGUCCUGUGUUCAAUCCCCAGUGCUUCCA
rnacentral:tRNA from 1 species